ACCAAUUGGACCCGGGGGCGGUACCCGGCGCCUCCACCAAAAUAUAAUAAAAUAAAGAUUAUAUUUUUAUGGGGGCGAAACAGGAUCGACAAGGGUGUAAAGAUUGCUCUUUUACUCGGCAUUGUACCACCGUUAUCGGACUAAAUGAGUAGUUGCAAAUGACAACUAUGCGGAAGCACGUCUCAUCGCUGCUUAAGCGAUGCGAAAGCUUCAAACUAAGUCUUAAACCGUCGCAGGUCUAAGCGGGGUUCGAAGG
rnacentral:tmRNA from 2 species